UGGUGGGUUGCCUUGUCAGGUUGAUUCCGGUAACGAACGAGACCUCAGCCUGCUAAAUAGUCAAGCGUACCUUUGGUAUGCGCCUGACUUCUUAGAGGGACUAUUGGCGUUUAGCCAAUGGAAGUGUGAGGCGAUAACA
rnacentral:rRNA from 1 species